rnacentral:rRNA from 1 species
AAUUAAUGAAAAAACACUUUCAGCAACGGAUGUCUUGGCUCCCAUGUCGAUGAAGAACGCAGCGAAAUGCGAUACGUCAUGCGAAUUGCAAAACCAGUGAGUCAUCAAAACUUUGAACGCAACUUGCACUUCCCUCUGGGGAGUAUGCCUGUUGGAGUGCUUGUUCAUCCCCACCAU